AACGAACGCUGGCGGCAGGCCUAACACAUGCAAGUCGAGCGCGCCUUCGGGUGAGCGGCGGACGGGUGAGUACCGCGUGGGAAUAUGCCCUUCUCUACGGAAUCGUCCUGGGAAACUGGGGGUAAUACCGUAUACGCCCUUUGGGGGAAAGAUUUAUCGGGGAAGGAUUAGUCCGCGUUGGAUUAGGUAGUUGGUGGGGUAAUGGCCUACCAAGCCGACGAUCCAUAGCUGGUUUGAGAGGAUGAUCAGCCACACUGGGACUGAGACACGGCCCAGACUCCUACGGGAGGCAGCAGUGGGGAAUCUUAGACAAUGGGGGCAACCCUGAUCUAGCCAUGCCGCGUGAGUGAUGAAGGCCUUAGGGUAGUAAAGCUCUUUCAGCUGGGAAGAUAAUGACGGUACCAGCAGAAGAAGCCCCGGCUAACUCCGUG
rnacentral:rRNA from 1 species